UCUAGUUAGGACAAAUCAGCCAGCACCAUUUUAUCGCUGGUGGUUUUUGUGGUUUGUUCAUUCCAAACCACCGGCACCGGCAGUAGGUACUCACAAUGAGAUAAAAUGUAUUCCAUGAAAAGAAAAUAAUAAUCAGUCAAAAUUGUGCACAAACUAGGUGGUUGCGAUGAUUGGUGUUUUCGAAGUUUGAAAUUAACCGUGUUUUUUUGGAAAAUAAGACGAUCAUCUCAUCGACCAUGCAGUGCUGUAGUUCCGAUAUGAUACGGGAACAAAAAAGAAUCAACGCUGAAAUCGAUAAACAGCUACGAAAGGACAAGCAUGCUUUACGAAGAGAAAUCAAGUUGCUUCUUCUAGGUGCGGGAGAGUCUGGCAAAUCCACAUUUAUAAAACAAAUGCGAAUAAUCCAUGGUGCAGGCUAUUCAGA